rnacentral:misc_RNA from 1 species
UUAACUAUUGAUAUGAUACUCAGACGACACUAACAUUCAGGGUUGGGGUUUCCUCUGGCGGGCACACCCAGGCCUCGCAGCCCGGGGCGCACGGGGCGCGGCCCGCCAAAGCAACAGGGUAUAAAUUACACAAGGGUGGGAGGUCUACCCCGAAGGGCAUGAACUCUGUAAUGAUCCUUCCGCAGGUUCACCUACGGAAA